UUGUCGCCUGUCACUUCUAGUGUGCAGUCACGUCUCCGAUCGGGCGACUGGUUGGGUGCUGCUCCGUGCUCUGUGCACGCUGCUGUGGGUUGAUCGGCAGUGGUGCAUGCUGGCGGCUGCCUGAAGCUCUCUUCCUUUUCCUCCUCUCUUGCUGUAGGCCGGUGGUGGUGGUGCUGGUGGUCUGGUGGUGGCAUCCUCCCGUCUUGUCUUGCUGUGUCCCUGGGAGCGGGUUUUCGUCACUGAGAGUGUCUGCCACGUGUGCUUGGUGAUUAUUGUGGUGUUUUUCUUUGGUGGAUCCCUCCCCUGCCCUAGCCUUCGUCCACUCACUUUGGCCUCAGCCCUGUUAAGGUUCUUUUCCCCCCAUUUUUGUUGGUGUGAAUGAGUUUUAUUGAAGUUUUUAGGAUUAUUGUUUAAUAAAAGAAACAUAUGUUAACUUGGAA